AUUGAACGCUAGCGGGGUGCUUUACACAUGCAAGUCGAACGAGUGGCGGACGGGUGAGUAAUAUAUCGGAACGUGCCCAGUAGCGGGGGAUAACUACUCGAAAGAGUGGCUAAUACCGCAUACGAUUGGAGCGGCCGAUAUCGGAUGAGCUAGUUGGUGGGGUAAAGGCUCACCAAGGCAACGAUCCGUAGCUGGUUUGAGAGGGUGACCAGCCACACUGUGACGUAGACACGGCCCAGACUCCUACGGGAGGCAGCAGUGGGGAAUUUUGGACAAUGGGGGAAACCCGGAUCCAGCCAUCCCGCGUGUAUGAGAAGGCUUUCGGGUGGUAAAGUACUUUUGGCAGAGAAGCGGUAUCUACAGAAUAAGCACCGGCUAACUACGUGCCAGCAGCCGCGGUAAUUC
rnacentral:rRNA from 1 species